rnacentral:rRNA from 1 species
GACGGAGGAUGCAAGUGUUAUCCGGAAUCACUGGGCGUAAAGCGUCUGUAGGUGGUUUAAUAAGUCAACUGUUAAAUCUUGAGGCUCAACCUCAAAAUCGCAGUCGAAACUAUUAGGCUAGAGUAUAGUAGGGGUAAAGGGAAUUUCCAGUGUAGCGGUGAAAUGCGUAGAGAUUGGAAAGAACACCGAUGGCGAAGGCACUUUACUGGGCUAUUACUAACACUCAGAGACGAAAGCUAGGGUAGCAAAUGGG